rnacentral:rRNA from 1 species
UUGACAUCCAGAGAACUUGGCAGAGAUGCCUUGGUGCCUUCGGGACCUCUGAGACAGGUGCUGCAUGGCUGUCGUCAGCUCGUGUUGUGAAAUGUUGGGUUAACGUCCGCAACGAGCGCAACCCCUAUCCUUUGUUGCCAGCGAUUCGGUCGGGAACUCAAAGGAGACUGCCGGUGAUAAACCGGGGGAAGGUGGGGAUGACGUCAAGUCAUCAUGGCCCUUACGAGUAGGGCUACACACGUGCUACAAUGGCGCAUACAAAGAGAAGCGACCUCGCGAGAGCAAGCGGACCUCAUAAAGUGCGUCGUAGUCCGGAUCGGAGUCUGCAACUCGACUCCGUGAAGUCGGAAUCGCUAGUAAUCGUAGAUCAGAAUGCUACGGUGAAUACGUUCCCGGGCCUUGUACACACCGCCCGUCACACCAUGGGAGUGGGUUGCAAAAGAAGUAGAUAGCUUAACCUUCGGGAGGGCGUUUACCACUUUGUGAUUCAUGACUGGGGUGAAGUCGUAACAAGGUAAGCGUAGCGAG